AUAUUUAAAAAUCAAUCUGCGCCCCACUCCCGGCUCCGGAGCCAAACUCAACCAUCUCGGGCUGCACAAAGCCAGAGGCGCGCCGGGGCGUUUGCACCGGGAACCGGCACCGAGUGACCCGCCCGCCCCAGCCCGGCCGCGGCGCCUGCUCUGGCUGGAUGUGGCUCGAGCUCUGGGCCGAGCGCGCGGGGCGGGGGCCCUGGAUUAUCCGCGGCGCCUCCCGCCACAGCGGAGCCGAAAGUUACUCGGAGCCGCUUUCUUCGCGGCCGGCGUCACCCCGGGGCGGGAGCUUUUCUGCCGAGCCGCGGCCCCGCGCGUCCCUCCCGCCGCCCAGACCCGCGCGUCCUUCCCACCUGCUGUGGCAGAAGCGGCUGCCGGGGCGGCCGGGCCGCGCUCCCGGAGACAGACGCGCUGCGCUCCCCCCGCCGGGGACCCGCUCUCCAUUCGCGAGGGCAGCGGCCGAGCUGGGAGCGAGUUAUCAACAGAUUGCGGGGCUGGGGCGCCGGCCGGUGAGUCACAGCCCCGCGCACGAGCGGCCCGGCCCGGCCAGCAGCGCCGCCGCCUCUGCGCGCACCUCCCGCGGCGACAGCGGGGACCCGGGGCCGGAGGCAGGCGCGUAACCAUGGGGACCUGGGCGGGCGAUGGCGGCGGGCGGGCUCCUGCCGCAGGGUGGGGAUGGCUCUUCCAGCCGGGCGGCCGCCGUCACACUGCAGAGCGCAUUUAAAGAGACACCUCGCUCCGCGCUCGCUCCCCAGCACCAGACCCUCGCCCGAAAACGCCGCCGGGCGGACUGCACGACCCUGUGUUAUUCCCAAAGGCAAUCUCCAUCCGUGGAGAAGCUGCAGGAACAGAAAUAUACACAAGAAAAUGGAUUUGGAAGGAAUUUUCCAUCCUUUAUUAACAUUCUCAAGUCCAGAUAUGCCAGAACCGAGGUGCACCUGUCGUGAACCCGUCUGAGUGUGAGUCAGCAGGGCAGCCGCAGCCGGUGUAGACAGACAGGGCCUGUGGCUGUGCAGAAAGCAUCCCUGUCCCCCUACCCCAACCCUCCUGCAUCCUGGGCCACAGAGCCGGGCAUCCAGAGCCAAGGCGAGUGUGGAGGCCAGGGCGCCAGGGGCGGCGCAGCCCAGCCUCCCACCACAGCGAGGUUUGGGCUUUGCACACAGCCCACAGGUCCCUAUCCUGCCCCCAGGGGCCUCCUACCCGACAAGGUGGGUCCAAGUCCACUCCAGUUUUUGUCACAAGCUCAGUUUUCUGGGGCACGUGCUGGCCUGGUGGCAGCCUCAGCAAGAGUCUCAGGAACUGCCCUGGGUGACCCCACACCCCUCCACCUGUUCCCCCUUUGGCCCUGGGUGACCCCACGCCCCUCCACCUGUUCCCCCUUUGGCCUCCAUCCUUGCGUGGCUGCUUCUGCCCCAGGUUCUCUGACACUGGCACCUGUUCAGGGGUCCCCAGGCCCUGCUGCCAUGGAUUUUGAGGGGCCUGAAGGACGUCCUGUUGGGAGGUUGUCAUGAAGAUGCAGGGGUGACAGCGUUCCGCUUCCCCGGCCCCUCCGGUGUUCCUGGAGCCCUUCUGUGGGGACACUGUGAUGGGCCCUGAACUCCAGCUGAGGGACACAGGGUCCAGGCAGGCGACAGUCUAGUUCCCAGCUGGAGAUGCUCCAGGCACCCCAGGACCUGGCCGCCCUGACUCCCUGGACACCGUUCCCCUUGGAGCCUCGGAGCCCCCUGGUGUCCCCUGGGUGAUGGUCCUGGACAAGAGGGCUGGGAAGGGACGGGCACCAAGGGGAGGAUUCUGUCCCAGAUGUCCCCAGGCCAGGGGUCCCCAUGGGCUCUGCCCUGACGUCUUACUCCUGCACCCAGCAGCUCCCACCACAGACUGCCCCAGGUGAGGGUACCAUGCUGAGCACAGAUCAACCUGUCUCUCCCGGGGGGCUCCUGGCACAUCACAGUGGGGGCCCAGAGGAGGCCCCGGCUGGUGGGGGGGCCCUGGCUUGUCUCUGUCCCUGCACAGGGACUGGAGCCCUGCCCUGAGUCCCAUGGGGGCUUUGCGGGGGACCUUCUUGAAGGUGCUGUGGAGGCAGAGGCAGAUGGUGGAGCCAGCCAGGCUCUGGGAGGCCCUAGAGAAGCUCCCACUGCCUGCCUCAGUCCUAGCUGGUUUUGGGCCCUGGGCUGGGCCCCCACAGGCUCCAAAGGGAAAGGUUGUCCAAGGGAAAGCCCUGGAGGCCACUGGUAUCUGGGCAGGACACACAGAAGGUUACCAGGUGCUGUGGGGGCCCUGGGGUCUGGCACUUGAGGCAGACAGGUCCACUGGCUUGCGAACGUCCUCCUGCCUUUGCACGUGGUGGUCAGGACCCGGGAGGGCUGCCCCCCCCAUUCCACACCUAGUGCUAACCUGGGUGAAGGAGAGAGAUCCCAGGGGGAACUGGCACUGCCACGUGUUCCAGAGCUGCCCUCGGGCAGAGUCUGUGGGGCUCAGCCUUGUGAGGGGUGGGGGCACCAGGCGUCUCCUGCUCACUCACAGCUGCCCCCCAGGGCCCCUCCCCCGCUGCUCUGUGAGCCCCUCCCUGGAGCUGCCCUCGGAGGGCACCUGCUUCAGGCCUCAUCUUCAGGGUGGUGCUGGGGACCGGGCACUGUCUCCUGAACAGUCCCACAUGGUGGCCUGGGCGGCACGCCUGUGGGAUGGGGAAACCGAGGCACAGACAGUCACGUGCUCUUCCAGUUGCUGGUUAGACCCCACUUGCGGUUGUGUGUUCCAGAAGCCUCCGGGCGCCGUGCGGCAGGAUGAGGAGCUGCCCCCUGGAGGAUCACGCAGGCCUCUGGGCAGCAUUCAGCAGGUGAGCCGGCGGCCGUCUGCCCUGCAGCCCGGGGACGUCAGCACUUGCCCUGCCCGCAGAGGUCACUGCCCCCGGCCCCCGGCCCCCGGCCCCCGGCCCCCAGCCCCUGGCCCUCUUCUCGCUGUUCAUCAGCAAAGCCUCUGCUUUCUGGACUGCAGGGUUGGCUGCGGCACCCGCUGACCACAGGGCCCACCUUUCCAGUCCUGGCCGGAGGGAAGCAUCUCAUCCAUGUUGCAGGCGCACGGGUUAGGGUGCCGCCUGCCUCCCUGACUCUGACCUCCCCAAGAGAGGAAAAC
rnacentral:antisense_RNA from 1 species